CCUGGCUCAGGAUGAACGCUGGCGGCGUGCCUAAUACAUGCAAGUCGAGCGAACAGAUAAGGAGCUUGCUCCUUUGACGUUAGCGGCGGACGGGUGAGUAACACGUGGGUAACCUACCUAUAAGACUGGAAUAACUCCGGGAAACCGGGGCUAAUGCCGGAUAACAUUUAGAACCGCAUGGUUCUAAAGUGAAAGAUGGUUUUGCUAUCACUUAUAGAUGGACCCGCGCCGUAUUAGCUAGUUGGUAAGGUAACGGCUUACCAAGGCAACGAUACGUAGCCGACCUGAGAGGGUGAUCGGCCACACUGGAACUGAGACACGGUCCAGACUCCUACGGGAGGCAGCAGUAGGGAAUCUUCCGCAAUGGGCGAAAGCCUGACGGAGCAACGCCGCGUGAGUGAUGAAGGUCUUCGGAUCGUAAAACUCUGUUAUUAGGGAAGAACAAAUGUGUAAGUAACUGUGCACGUCUUGACGGUACCUAAUCAGAAAGCCACGGCUAACUACGUGCCAGCAGCCGCGGUAAUACGUAGGUGGCAAGCGUUAUCCGGAAUUAUUGGGCGUAAAGCGCGCGUAGGCGGUUUCUUAAGUCUGAUGUG
rnacentral:rRNA from 1 species